GACGAACGCUGGCGGCGUGCUUAACACAUGCAAGUCGAACGGAAAGGCCCUGCUUGCAGGGUGCUCGAGUGGCGAACGGGUGAGUAACACGUGGGUGAUCUGCCCCUUACUUUGGGAUAAGCCUGGGAAACUGGGUCUAAUACUGGAUAGGACCAUGCUGUAUGUGGUGUGGUGGAAAGAUUAGUUUCGGUAAGGGAUGAGCUCGCGGCCUAUCAGCUUGUUGGUGGGGUAAUGGCCUACCAAGGCGUCGACGGGUAGCCGGCCUGAGAGGGUGGACGGCCACAUUGGGACUGAGAUACGGCCCAGACGACUACGGGAGGCAGCAGUGGGGAAUAUUGCACAAUGGGCGGAAGCCUGAUGCAGCGACGCCGCGUGGGGGAUGACGGCCUUCGGGUUGUAAACUCCUUUCAGCCAUGACGAAGCCCUUGUGGUGACGGUAGUGGUAGAAGAAGCACCGGCUAACUACGUG
rnacentral:rRNA from 1 species